AUUGAACGCUGGCGGCAGGCCUAACACAUGCAAGUCGAGCGGAUGAAGGGAGCUUGCUCCUGGAUUCAGCGGCGGACGGGUGAGUAAUGCCUAGGAAUCUGCCUGGUAGUGGGGAUAACGUCCGGAAACGGGCGCUAAUACCGCAUACGUCCUGAGGGAGAAAGUGGGGGAUCUUCGGACCUCACGCUAUCAGAUGAGCCUAGGUCGGAUUAGCUAGUUGGUGGGGUAAAGGCCUACCAAGGCGACGAUCCGUAACUGGUCUGAGAGGAUGAUCAGUCACACUGGAGCUGAGACACGGUCCAGACUCCUACGGGAGGCAGCAGUGGGGAAUAUUGGACAAUGGGCGAAAGCCUGAUCCAGCCAUGCCGCGUGUGUGAAGAAGGUCUUCGGAUUGUAAAGCACUUUAAGUUGGGAGGAAGGGCAGUAAGUUAAUACCUUGCUGUUUUGACGUUACCAACAGAAUAAGCACCGGCUAACUUCGUG
rnacentral:rRNA from 1 species